GCCAGGGUGGCGCAGUGGUUAACGCCCCUGCCUAGAGAGCAGGAGGCCUCGGUUCAACUCCAGGCCUUGAUA